CAGACGGGGUGAGUAAAUACAUGGGGGAAAAUCUACCCUUGCAGAGCGAAAUAACAGUUGGAAGCAAUUGCUAAUGUCGCAUAUAGCCGAGAGGUGAAAGAUUUAUCGCUGCAAGACGAGCCCAUGCAGGAUUAGCUAGUUGUGGGGUAAUGGCUCAACCAAGGCAACGAUCUUUAGUUGGUCUGAGAGGAUGAUCAGCCACACUGGAACUGAGACACGGUCCAGACUCCUACGGGAGGCAGCAGUGGGGAAUAUUGGACAAUGGGCGUAAGCCCUGAUCCAGCGACGCCGCGUGAGUGAAGAAGGCCUUCGGGUUGUAAAGUUCUUUAGUGGGGAAGAUAAUGACGGUACCCACAGAAAAAGCCCCGGCUAACUUCGUGC
rnacentral:rRNA from 1 species